rnacentral:rRNA from 1 species
GACGAACGCUGGCGGCGUGCUUAACACAUGCAAGUCGAGCGGAAAGGCCCUCCGGGGUACUCGAGCGGCGACCGGGUGAGUAACACGUGAGUAACCUGCCCUUGGCUUUGGGAUAACCCUCGGAAACGGGGGCUAAUACCGGAUAUUCACUUUCCUUGGCAUCAGGGUUGGUGGAAAGUUUUUCGGCCAGGGAUGGGCUCGCGGCCUAUCAGCUUGUUGGUGGGGUAAUGGCCUACCAAGGCGACGACGGGUAGCCGGCCUGAGAGGGCGACCGGCCACACUGGGACUGAGACACGGCCCAGACUCCUACGGGAGGCAGCAGUGGGGAAUAUUGCACAAUGGGCGAAAGGCUGAUGCAGCGACGCCGCGUGAGGGAUGACGGCCUGGUUGUAA